GACUAUAAGCCAGUAAGGAGACAAAGCUUAUCUCCCCGGCUUCUGCUCCUUUUUCUUCACCCUGCCUGGCUUCAAUGCAUGAUCAGUUAGCCAAUGACGGAGGGGAAGGAGAGAAGAAGAGAAAUAACAAUGUAUGGUUGCCUAUCAUGUGUCCCCUGUUGGGAACUGGCCCGAAACCCAGGGACACAGGGAAGGAUUCUGAUUGAGUCACGUGUCUACCAUGGGACUGACUACUGUUACCAGGGACACAGGGUGUGAUGAGAGCUCAACCUGGGGCACAAUGAAUAUGAAUGACACCCCCAGAGCUACAUGCAUACUCGGCCCAGCAGCCCUCAAGAAGGAAGCCAUUCAGGCGACAAGCAGGCUCUUGUGCUUGGCUUAUCACUAACCAGAGGAGCCUGCGCUGGAAAUGAGAUUCAAAGCCUGCACCAGGAAGGGCUGUUUCCUUAAUUGAGCGCCUCCCUUUUGAAGCGCUGUCUCCCUGGCGGAGCCUGGAGCUGGCUGGGUCCCCCGGCCAAGAUCACUCCUGUGUAAUCUCCUGCAUGCCAGAAGCAGAUGCUCCGCGGCAUGGAGCUUUUCUGACAGGCCUUUGAUAAGAUUUCUCAGUCCUCCAUGUGCCAGGCAGGUGGAGGGAGGAACAGUUUUCAGAAAAGUCACUGAUCAAAGGAUUCAAGAGCUUAGGUGUUCCAGGCUUUCCUGCCACAUACGCCUCAGUCAAGAAUCUGCAGUCCUGGGGGAUUCUCAGUGCCUUGAUGGUGCUCCCAUCUUGUCCCUUCUCGUGCUGUCCCCAUGGGGUUAAGGACCAAUUCUCUUCUGCUUUCCUUAAUUAAUGGAAAUGAAAUUUGUGUUCUUUGAGACUACUUGAACUGGUCUGGGUUGUUUGGAGAUACACACAGCUGUCAGGAACUCUGGCACAGUGUUCAGUGGAUGAAGUAAAUACCUUAUUUUGAGUUGAUUUGGGGAAAGGGGCUAUUUUAAGGAAUCAUCUAAGCUCACGUGAUGUUGGAGUUAAUUUAACUCUGAGUGCAAAUGUCCUCUGGAAAUGAGGGUAAUGCCAGAUGUAAGGACAAGAUUGUCAUGGAAAUUAGAUGAUGUAAAAUAUGAGAAGCCCCUAGCAAAAAUAUUCUGAAGAGCUCAGAAAUAUUUAUUAUUAGAUUAUUAUUUUAUUAUUUCCCUGGUGGGGAGGAGAACCCUUAGCUGAGUGUUGGACUAUCUAAGCCUCACGCAGUGACAAAGCUAAAGCCCAGAAGAGUCAAGGCUUUGUCAGCUGUUGCAAAACCAUUACGCCUGGGCAGAGAAGCUACUACACCUGGCUUUUCAAUCAUAUGAGUGCUCCCCCUGCUUUUCUGCCACCUCUCUUUUCCCACUUCCUACUCCAUGUUCUCCAUGUCCAUCACUCCUUCCCUACCUUCAUUCUUUUUCCCUUUUGACAUUCUGUUUCCCACACUCAGCAAAAUCCACAAAUCAGAUCGACGAAGUCGUGUGGAGUCUUUCUCUUCUGCCAUGGCUGUUGAGUUUUAUAGAGAAUUUCCUUUGCUCAGACUGACGUCACCACCUCCUCCUGCAUUCCUGCCUCUACAUGACCCCAAUUCACACUUGCUCCUCCAGUCCUAUCUCACUUCCUCCCACCUUCUCAGCAGAUGACCUGGUCUGUCUAGUUACUGGGAAAAUGGAGGCUGCCAGGCAGAGAUCCCUCAGCCUGCUUGCUGCGCUCGUCUGCACACAUUCUCCCCAAUCACCGUAUCCUCACCCAUGGCUGUAGCCACCACGUCAGUCCACCCUAGGUCACCCUCCAAAGCUCUAAAUCCAUUCACCCGGCCUCUGGACAUGUCUGCUUAGAUGUCCCACAGGCACCUCAAAAAUUAUGAUCUUGUUAACAGGUUCUCCAAUCCUCUUAUCUCCCAUAUCGCAUAGGUCAUCAGAGACAGUUGUUUCUACCUCCUAACUCUCUCUGAGACCCUUCUUCAGCUCUCCAGUCCAUAGCCACCGCUCAGUCCGGGAGCCUGUCUCUGCUUCCCUAGGUCACUACAACGGCCCCCAGCCCAUCUUUCCAUCUCUGGUCCUGCUGCACUCCCAUCCCUCCUUCCAUCCGUCCACGCUGCCUUCGGGGAGAACCUUCCCAACUCAGGCUGAGUAGACUUCCCUGGGGUCCUUGAUGACCUCCCCAAAAACCCACAGGGGGUCCCUGCAAUUCUUAUAGGCCCCUAACCAUCCCCAUUACAGGUGAUUGGCUCAAAGGACACCCGGGAUCCCGUUUCCCUAAGAAUCUACAUUAAAGACCCAGAAGAUUCUAAACAGUCAUGUUGGGACUUAAACCACAUGAGUAUUUUCUACAUGAUUUUAAUUUUCUUCUUUUCCUUCUCUGUGGUUUCAAAACUAAAGAAAAGCAAUAUUUUUGUAAGAAAAACACUUAAAGAACUCUGGGCUGGUUUUAAAAUAAAAACUCUCGAAUUUGGUCUUUAUACUCUCAAAUCAGUUCUCAUUUGAUUACUUAUUUAUGCUAAGGAGGAAAAACAAAUAGACUAUAAGCAAUAAUAUUUAUUUCUGUUGUCAAAACAUUCUCAGGCCAUAGGAACUGAGGAAUUCUUCCUGUUAAAUGUCUUUGCUGCUUCCCUGCUGCUCCUCCUCUCUUUCUGGUGGCCCUGUGUUAAACCUUUGAAUUUCUAGGGAUGGUAAUAGUGUUUGGUUAAAAGUCUGGAUUUUGGAGCCAAAUUGAUGUGAAUUAAAAUCCUAACUUCACCACUAAUGGGGUGACCAUGGACAAACUACUUAAAUUAGUUGUGUCUGUUUCUUCCUGUGUAAAAUAAGAUAUUAAUGCCUAGAUCACAAGGUCAUGGUCAAGUUUAAAUGGCAUUGUGUAUAUAGAGGCCUUUGACACAGAUUAAGGGCACAGUAGCUAAUAUUACGAUAAAUGUAUUCUAUCUUGGCUUGCUGGGGCCCUGUCAUUUUUAGUGGCCAUUGCUGAUCUCUAACCCAUGGCUCCCCCUCCUCCUGUUCCCCAGCCAACCUGGCAUACGCACAACUCUAGCCGGCCUCACUGUCCAUAGCAGGGGCUCUGAGGCCUGGGUAUAGAAAUGACCCUUCUUUCUCUGGACACAGUGGGUCUGGGUAGAGAAUGAGGUAGGGCUUAAGCAUCUCAGGAAAUGGCUUGCACCCCUGAACUAACAUCCCUCGGCGAGAAAAGGCACACCAGUACGGCCCUGCACGAGAGAGGCCUCUACCACCCGCCCUGCCCUGCCUCUCACCCUUUUCCUACUGACUUACUGCUCUUAAUCACACUGUUCUAUUCGCUUUGGUCCAGACCCCACCUGCCUCAAGGCUUCCCCUCUUGUUGCUUCCCCUGUGGGGAAAGUCCUUCCGUGCUCCUACCUGGCUGGCUCCCUGUCUACAUUCCGUUCCCUGCUUCGAUGUCA